rnacentral:rRNA from 1 species
CCUACGGGGGGCAGCAGUGGGGAAUAUUGCACAAUGGGGGAAACCCUGAUGCAGCAACGCCGCGUGAGUGAAGAAGUCAUUCGUGAUGUAAAGCUCUAUCAGCAGGGAAGAAAAUGACGGUACCUGAGUAAGAAGCCCCGGCUAACUACGUGCCAGCAGCCGCGGUAAUACGUAGGGGGCAAGCGUUAUCCGGAUUUACUGGGUGUAAAGGGAGCGUAGACGGCCAGACAAGUCUGAAGUGAAAAUCCAGCGCUUAACGUUGGAAGUGCUUUGGAAACUGCCGGGCUAGAGUGCAGGAGGGGCAGGCGGAAUUCCUAGUGUAGCGGUGAAAUGCGUAGAUAUUAGGAGGAACACCAGUGGCGAAGGCGGCCUGCUGGACUGCAACUGACGUUGAGGCUCGAAGGCGUGGGGAGCAAACAGGAUUAGAUACCCGAGUAGUC